AGGAAGGUAAAGGGACGAGACAGUGAUCGAGUCAGAUAAGGAGGAAAAUGGAGAUGGAGGAGUUGGGUAUAAAGUGCUGAGAGGAUGGGCUCUGUUGCAUCAUUCCGUAGCAAGUGCACUCCAGUGGUGAAAUCAGCGACGUCUUCCUACUCAUUAGCAAAUUUGAUCGCUUGACAGCAGCUUGCAACAAUGGCAAAGGACAACGGAAAGUGCGGUGCUAACUGCGAUUGCCCAGCGGGAACGUGCGCUAAGGAGAAUGGCAAGUGCGGAGCCAACUGUGAUUGCCCAGCAGGAACAUGCGCAAACGAGAAUGGCAAGUGCGGUGCCAACUGUGACUGCCCUGCUGGAACCUGCGCCAAAGAAUAGAUCUGAGAUGUUCCUUACUACAAUGAGUUAUCAUCACAAGUGAUAUGUAUAAACGUGACUUGAUACGUAUAGAAGAUGAUAAGUACAGGUUUGUAUAGUGAAUAAUACCCAGUAGCCACACCCUUACGGGAAAGCAACAUGGCAACAGGGUGGAUGCUUCUAGACUGGAAUUAAAUCAUAUUUUGUUUGGUUCGUCUAACAUAAUUUUAAGAUUUGAUGAUGUCUUUGAGCAGGUUGUGGGUCGAUCUUAUUGUCCAAUCCUGGCUUAUGAUCUGAAACAUCCUGCAUUUUAUGCA